GAACAUUUAACAGCCUUCCCCAAAUCAAACUUUAGUUUCAAAAUUGUCUUCCUUGGCACCUGGCUUUUUGAAUGCUUCAGAGGGCCUCUGAAGUGUCCAGGAAAGAGAGGUAAUUGUGACUCCAUACUAUGGGUCACCCCCAUCAGUUGCAUCCUCCAAACUAGAAAGAGUUAAUUUCCCAAACCUUAAACUACUUGGCUUGGGAUUGGAUUCAGAGGAAGGGAGCUCAGAAGCCCAACAUGCCUGCAAAAAGGCCAUCAAACUCCAAACAGUCAUGCAACUGGAGCCUCUGAAGAUGGCCCCUUCUGCCGCAAACCCUUAGAUCAGCCUCUAGAGAAGCUUUGACUGCUGUUUCCCCAAAACAGCACCCCCUGCCAUCAGGAAGCAGUUAAGAUUGGCCUUCAUCCUUAUCCUUAAUCUACUUCUUUAGAGAGGGGAAUGAGACAGCCAGGUGGGAGGGGGUCCCUGGAGAAACCCCAACCAGCUGCCCACUGAAGUGGAGCCUUGGGGAGUUCAUGCUGUUUGCAGCAGGGAGGAGCUUGGCCCCUCCUUUUCUUGUGUGGAGCUUGGGAUUCAAACUGCCAGGUGGGAAGUGCUCUAGCGGAGGGACUGUGACCUAGUAAGAGUCCCUGUUUUCCCCUUUUUUCCCUUUUCACCCAAUAAAACUCUGCUUUACUCACCCUUUAAACCAUCUGCAAGCCUAAAUUUUUGUGGCUGUGGGAUAGACAAGAACCCCAUCUUUAGCUGAACUAAGGAAAAUCCUGGAACACUAGUGUUGCCGACCUUUGGGGCAUUUUGAAGACUAUUGUAUUCUUUUUUUGUUUGUUUUUGAAAUGGAGUCUUGCUCCCUCUCCCAGGCUGGAGUGCAGUGCACUGCAACCUCUGCCUCCCAGGUUCAAGCAAUUCUCCUGCCUCAGCCUCCCGGGUAGGUGGGAUUACAGGCAUGAGCUACCACGCCCAGCUAAUUUUUGUAUUUUUAGUAGAGAUGGGGUUUCACCAUGUUGGCCAGGCUGGUCUUGAACUCCUGAGCUCAGGUGAUCUACUCGCCUUGGCCUCCCAAAGUCCUAGGAUUACAGGCGUGAGCCGCCAAUUGUGUUCUUUAUCAUACUUCCUGGGAUUCGUAAAUUAAGCAGUAGCCUUCAAUCUUGAAGGAAACAAAAUAGGGGGUCCUGGUCAGAGUCCUGAUGUCCGUGGAACCUCAUGAUCUGCCCUAAUAACACAUCUUUUGAUGUAUUUCUGGCUUUAACCUAAGACUUAGGCAUUUGAUGAAGGGAUGGGAUUCGAGAAUGUGCAGAUUUCAUCAAUGUCAAUAAGUCUGUCUUGUUUUAAGCCCUGUUGUAUAAGUGUCAAUUUGCCCCACAAGAACAGUUACUGAAUGCCACAGUUUCAAAACAAUGCCUAGUCAUAACUUUAAGAACUCAGCAAACAAAAUUAAUCAGACGUUUUUCCUUUCCCUCCCUCCCUCCUUCCCUCCCUUCCUUCCUUCCUUCCUUCCUUCCUUCCUUUUUUCCUUCCCUCCUUCCUUCCCUCCUUCCCUCCUUCCCUCCUUCCCUCCCUCCUUCCCUCCUUCCCUCCUUCCCUCUUUCCCUCCUUCCCUCCUUCACUCCUUUCCCCCUUCCCCUUUCCCUUUCUUCUGAUGUCAGAGACUGGCUACCUGUCUCCCUGGCUUCUUUUGUAGUGAGGGGUAGCCAUGUGGCUGAAUUCUGGCCAAAGCCUUCCAGGCCUGUUUCUCCUUCCCCCUCCCUGCCAGCUGGAUGCAGAGGACUCCAAGAUACAUGGGAGGAUGGAGACCUAUUUUGAAUAGAUCUUGGGUCUCUGAAUGAUUAUGGGCUUUUGGCCUGAGUGAGAAAUGAACAUAUAUUAUAUUAAGCCUUUGAUUUUUGUGAUUUAUUUUCAAUAGCAUCUAGCAUUACCUUAAUGAAUAAACAUCCUCAAUUUCUGUUGAAUUUAAAAUUUGAAAAAUAGGCAAUAUAGUUGCAUUGUUCAAAAAUCAAAACAAUAUGAAAGCCGCACAUUGACAGUCUCACUUCCACUCUAUUCUGUCCACCCUGCUCCAUGCUCUUGUUUCCCAGCCCUAUGGUGAACUGCUUUAACAGUUUCUUGGAUCUCUUUCCAAUAUUUGUUUAUGCAUAUAAUACAAAAAGUACAUGUCAAUAAUGUAUAUGAAUAUAUUCUUUUCUUCCCUUCAUAGCUCAAAGGUAGCAUACUAUUCAGACUGUUUUGUAUUUUGCUUCUUUUGCAUGACAAAAUCUCCUGAUGACCUUUCCAUUGUGGUGUAUAAAAGACUUCUCACUCUUUCAU